rnacentral:tRNA from 1 species
AUCGGAGCGGUGGUAGCUCAGUCGGGUGAGCGCCCGCUUCUCACGCAAGAGAUGCGGGUUUAAAUCCCGGCGCUGACA